rnacentral:lncRNA from 1 species
CUGAUACCUUCCCCUACCCUCACCCUACCCGUUCCCAGGGUAGGGGUUGAAUAGGGGUAGGGUAGGGGGAGGGUAGGGUAGGGGAAGAGUAGAGGUAGGGUAGGGGGAGGGUAGGGUAGGGGUAGGGUAAGGGUAGGGGUAGGGUUGGGGUAGAGAUAGGGUAGGGGUUGAAUAGGGGGAGGGGGAGGGCAGGGGUUGGGUAGAGGAAUGGGAGGGGAGGGGGAGAGAAGGGGUUGAUUAGGGGUAGGGUAGGUGUAGGGUGAGGGGAGGGGUAGGGUAGGGGUAGUAGGAGGGUAGGGUUGAUUAGGGUAGGAAUAGGGGUAGGAUAGGGGUAGGAGUAGGGUAGGGUAGGAAUAGGGGUAGGGUUAGGGUUAGGGAAGGGGAGGAGUAGGGUAGGGUUAGGGGUAGGGGUAGGUUAGUGUUACGUUUAGGGUUAGGUUAGGGUUAUUUUUAGGGUUAGGGUUAGGAUUAGAUUACUUUUAGGGUUAGGGUUAGGGUUAUGUUUAGGGUUAGGCUAUGAUUAGAGUUAUAGUUUUGGUUAUGGUUAGGGUUAAGGAUAAGGUUAGGGUUAUGGUUAAGGUUAAGGUUAGGGUUAGGGUUAGGGUUAUAUUUAUGGUUAUUAUUAGGGUUAUGGUCAGGGUCGGGGUUAGGGUUAUGGUUAGGGUUAGGGUUAGGGUUAGGGUCAUGGUUUAGGUUAUUAUUAGGGUUAGGGUUAGGGUUAUGGUUAGGGUUAGGGUUAGGGUUACGGUUAGGGUCAUGGUUUAGGUUAUUAUUAGGGUUAGGGUUAUGGUUAUGGUUAAGGUUAUGGUUAUUCUUAGGUUUAGGGUUAUUGUUAAGGUUAUGGUUAUUAUUAGGGUUAGGGUUAUUGUUAUGGUUAAGGUUAUGUUUAGGGUUAUGGUUAUGAUUAGGGUCAUGGUUAUGGUUAUUAUUAGGGUCAUGGUUAUGGUUAUCAUUAGGGUUAUGGUUAUGAUUAUGGUCAUGGUUAUGGUUAUUAUUAUGGUUAUGGUUAUCAUUAGGGUGCCCCUAACCCCGCUGCCCACCCAUGAUCUCCAGCAGGACGUGCUCAAAACUCUCCUUCUCGUCCCUCAAUGUGCUGUGGGAUCUCAGCGGCACCGGCAGGAACCCGAACUGCUCCUUAUUGCACACGAACAUCUGCACCUCUAUGGGGAGACGAGGGAGAGUCAGCAACAACCCUACAAACAACCCCAUAAACCAACCCUACAAACCAACCCUAUAAACCAACCCCAUAAACCAACCCUACAAACCAACCCCAUAAACCAACCCUAUAAACCAACCCCAUAA